UACGAAGGGGGCUAGCGUUGCUCGGAAUCACUGGGCGUAAAGGGUGCGUAGGCGGGUCUUUUAAGUCAGGGGUGAAAUCCUGGAGCUCAACUCCAGAACUGCCUUUGAUACUGAAGAUCUUGAGUUCGGGAGAGGUGAGUGGAACUGCGAGUGUAGAGGUGAAAUUCGUAGAUAUUCGCAAGAACACCAGUGGCGAAGGCGGCUCACUGGCCCGAUACUGACGCUGAGGCACGAAAGCGAUGGGGAGCAAACAGGGGAUUAAGAU
rnacentral:rRNA from 1 species